rnacentral:rRNA from 1 species
GAUGAACGCUGGCGGCGUGCCUAAUACAUGCAAGUCGAGCGAACGGACGAGAAGCUUGCUUCUCUGAUGUUAGCGGCGGACGGGUGAGUAACACGUGGAUAACCUCCCUAUAAGACUGGGAUAACUUCGGGAAACCGGAGCUAAUACCGGAUAAUAUUUUGAACCGCAUGGUUCAAAAGUGAAAGACGGUCUUGCUGUCACUUAUAGAUGGAUCCGCGCUGCAUUAGCUAGUUGGUAAGGUAACGGCUUACCAAGGCAACGAUGCAUAGCCGACCUGAGAGGGUGAUCGGCCACACUGGAACUGAGACACGGUCCAGACUACUACGGGAGGCAGCAGUAGGGAAUCUUCCGCAAUGGGCGAAAGCCUGGCGGAGCAACGCCGCGUGAGUGAUGAAGGUCUUCGGAUCGUAAAACUCUGUUAUUAGGGAAGAACAUAUGUGUAAGUAACUGUGCACAGCUUGACGGUACCUAAUCAGAAAGCCACGGCUAACUACGUG